rnacentral:rRNA from 1 species
ACAUGCCUACAACAUGGAAUUAAUGCAUUAGAUCCCAUUAGAACUCCAUAAUUAAGCAUGCUUGGGCUAGAGUAGUGCUAGGAAGGGUCACCACCUGGGAAGUCCCAGUGUUUUACAUGCC